rnacentral:rRNA from 1 species
UACGUAGGGUGCGAGCGUUAAUCGGAAUUACUGGGCGUAAAGCGUGCGCAGGCGGUUUGAUAAGACAGGCGUGAAAUCCCCGGGCUUAACCUGGGAAUGGCAUUGAGGACUGAGAGGCUAGAGUGCGGCAGAGGGAGGUGGAAUUCCACGUGUAGCAGUGAAAUGCGUAGAGAUGUGGAGGAACACCGAUGGCGAAGGCAGCCUCCUGGGCCGACACUGACGCU